rnacentral:rRNA from 1 species
UGGGGAAUAUUGCGCAAUGGACGAAAGUCUGACGCAGCGACGCCGCGUGUGGGAGGAAGCUCUUCGGGGUGUAAACCACUGUCAGGAGGGAAGAACGGCGCCGGUUCGAACAGUUCCGGCGAUUGACGGUACCUCCAAAGGAAGCGCCGGCUAACUCCGUGCCAGCAGCCGCGGUAAGACGGAGGGCGCAAGCGUUGUUCGGAAUUACUGGGCUUAAAGCGCACGUAGGCGGCGCCGCAAGUGUGGGGUGAAAGCCCACGGCUUACCCGUGGAAUUGCCUGGCAGACUGCGGUGCUAGAGUGUGGUAGGGGAGAGCGGAACUCCUGGUGGAGCGGUGAAAUGCGUAGAUAUCAGGAGGAACACCGGUGGCGAAGGCGGCUCUCUGGUCCACAACUGACGCUGAGGUGCGAAAGCUAGGGGAGCAAACAGGAUUAGAUACCCCAGUAGUCCCUGAGCGGGCUGGCAAGGCGCAU